rnacentral:rRNA from 1 species
GACGAACGCUGGCGGCGUGCUUAACACAUGCAAGUCGUACGGUAAGGCCCUUUCGGGGGUCCACGAGUGGCGAACGGGUGCGUAACACGUGAGUAACCUGCCCACAACUUUGGGAUAACGCUAGGAAACUGGUGCUAAUACUGGAUAUGUGCUCCUGCUGCAUGGUGGGGGUUGGAAAGCUCCGGCGGUUGUGGAUGGACUCGCGGCCUAUCAGCUUGUUGGUGGGGUAGUGGCCUACCAAGGCGGCGACGGGUAGCCGGCCUGGGAGGGUGACCGGCCACAUUGGGACUGAGGUACGGCCCAGGCUCCGACGGGAGGCAGCAGGGGGGAAGAUUGCACAAGGGGCGCAAGCCUGAUGCAGCAACGCCGCGUGCGGGAUGACGGCCUUCGGGUUGUAAACCGCUUUCAGCAGGGACGAAGCUUUUUGUGACGGUACCUGCAGAAGAAGCACCGGCUAACUACGUG